rnacentral:rRNA from 1 species
UACGAAGGGGGGCUAGCGUUGCUCGGAAUCACUGGGCGUAAAGCGCACGUAGGCGGAUCUUUAAGUCAGGGGUGAAAUCCUGGAGCUCAACUCCAGAACUGCCUUUGAUACUGGGGAUCUCGAGUCCGGGAGAGGUGAGUGGAACUCCGAGUGUAGAGGUGAAAUUCGUAGAUAUUCGGAAGAACACCAGUGGCGAAGGCGGCUCACUGGCCCGGUACUGACGCUGAGGUGCGAAAAGCGUGGGGAGCAAACAGG